rfam:Camelus ferus unplaced genomic scaffold scaffold429, whole genome shotgun sequence.
GGAGAGUACAGCUCAGUGGUAGAGCGCGUGAUUAGCAGGCAUGAGGUCCUGGGUUCAAUCCCCAAUACCUCCA